ACAUUUUAUCCAAAAUGCAUAGUGGAAACGUAUUCUGGCAGAACGGAGUGUACUGUCUUUUUCUUACACAAUGAAAGCUUCUAAAAUCAGGGACUAUCUAAUUGAGUGGCUUUUCAUACUGCCUAGCACAACACCAUGCUUUUAAAAAUGCUAAAUGCCAGAAAUUGUAUUUGACAUAGUUCAAAUACUUCGCUAAGUCAUAUUUGCUCUCAGUUGCAUUCUUUUUUUCCAAAUACAUCAUUACUUUGGUCUGAGAACAGACCUUAAUUGAGGACCGCACACUAUACAAAAGAAGCAAGAAGGCACUUUAUCCACUGAAAAGAAAAGAGAAUACUGGCUGUAACAAAGACGUCAGUAAAGGAGCAUCAGUGGAACUUACAUCUUUAGCUUUAAAUUUCCUGUCUGCAAAGAACUCAUCACAGAGUUGGGCCUCUCGCCACUGGAGGGUUAAAAACUAGGCACUAUUACCUCCAGGAUCCCACAUUAUUCUUUACAGAUGUAUUCUUUGGACUACCUCACUAUGCUAUGUCAUCAUUAGCAUCAUCAAAAGUAGCCCGCUUGACAUCCCGCUUUAGCUCCUUCAGUAUCACUUUGAAAAGUUGACGCGUGAAGAAUGCAGGGGCUCCCCCAUGUGGACUUACUAAAUGGAUUCAUGAAUCCCUUUUCAAGCCUGAUUUGUUUAAUCAAACACAGCAUAAUGACCAUAAAUGGUAGGUAAAAUAUUUUGCAAAGGCACAGCUGGAUAGCUAGCUAGUCACCAUUCCAUCUAUUCAAAUAGUAUUAAGGCCAUAACAUGUUACCUAUAUUCCCCUACAUUUAUAAAGGAGGGUGGAAACUGACCACCUUAAAACACCAUUCUAUAAGUCAAAUCCUUGGGAUUGCUGCAGGUCAACCGAAGAAACGCUGAAAGACCUCUUCCAGUCAAAUCUUAGACAUUUCCCUUUCACAAGACCAAACUUCUGAAGCAAUUGGCCUUUUGAUUUUAUUGCACUGUAAAAUGUACUUAUUUUGAUCCUCAUCUUGUUUCAGGAUUGACGGUGGAUGACUCCAGGAUGUUCUCUGGUUUUGACACUCUGCUGUCAAAACUCCAGACUCCAAUUUAACCCCACUCGAAUCCACCUUCUUCCAUUACCUUGUUGGCAGAUGAGAACUUUCAUUUGUUGCAAAUAAAUGCCUACAAUUACCAUAACUA